rnacentral:rRNA from 1 species
UACAGAGGGUGCAAGCGUUGUCCGGAAUUAUUGGGCGUAAAGAGCUCGUAGGCGGUUCGUCGCGUCGGCUGUGAAAACCCGGAGCUCAACUCCGGGCCUGCAGUCGAUACGGGCGGACUUGAGUGUUGCAGGGGAGACUGGAAUUCCUGGUGUAGCGGUGAAAUGCGCAGAUAUCAGGAGGAACACCGGUGGCGAAGGCGGGUCUCUGGGCAACUACUGACGCUGAGGAGCGAAAGCGUGGGGAGCGAACAGG